GUAGGGGUCCAAGCGUUAAUCGGAAUUACUGGGCGUAAAGCGUGCGUAGGCGGUUGUGCAAGACCGAUGUGAAAUCCCCCGGGGCUUAACCUGGGAAUUGCAUUGGUGACUGCACGGCUAGAGUGUGUCAGAGGGGGGUAGAAUUCCACGUGUAGCAGUGAAAUGCGUAGAGAUGUGGAGGAAUACCGAUGGCGAAGGCAGCCCCCUGGGAUAACACUGACGCUCAUGCACGAAAGCGGGGGGAGCAAACAGGAUUAGAUACCCUGGUAGUCCACGCCCUAAACGAUGUCAACUAGUUGUUGGGGAUUCAUUUCCUUAGUAACGUAGCUAACGCGUGAAGUUGACCGCCUGGGGAGUACGGUCGCAAGAUUA
rnacentral:rRNA from 1 species